GGUAGGGCAAGUCUGGUGCCAGCAGCCGCGGUAAUUCCAGCUCCAAUAGCGUAUAUUAAGGUUGUUGCAGUUAAAAGCUCGUAGUUGAAUUUCGGGGUUAGUAGGUUGGUCAUGCCUCUGGUAUGUACUGGUCUCACUGAUUCCUCCUUCCUGAUGAACCUUAAUGCCAUUAAUUUGGUGUUUUGGGGAAUUUGGACUGUUACUUUGAAAAAUUAGAGUGUUUAAAGCAAGCUAACGCUUGAAUACAUUAGCAUGGAAUAAUGAAAUAGGACGUUUACCCUAUUUUAGUUGGUUUUUUAGGAUCGACGUAAUGAUUAAUAGGGAUAGUUGGGGGCAUUAGUAUUCAAUUGUCAGAGGUGAAAUUCUUGGAUUUAUUGAAGACUAACUACUGUGAAAGCAUUUGCCAAGGAUGUUUUCAUUAAUCAAGAACGAAAGUUAGGGGGAUCGAAGACGAUCAGAUACCGUCGUAGUCUUAACCAUAAACUAUGCCGACUAGGGAUCGGAUGAUGUUAAUUUUAUAAUGACUCAUUCGGCGCCUUACG
rnacentral:rRNA from 1 species